rnacentral:rRNA from 1 species
UUGUAAAAUGGUGGUCGGAAGGUGACUCUUUUUUGAGUGUUAUAGCCGGCUGCAGAUGCAACGAUCGGGGUUGAGGUUUGCGGCAAAUGCCUUUGGGCUACUUACCUUCCUUCUGAUCUGUUCACUUUGAAAUGACAGCUUGCUGACAUUUUAAAGGGCGUUCAAUCAAUAGGGUAGAGUAGGAUAAAUUUGCCAAGGAUGCUGACGUAAUGACCUUAAACGACCCGUCUUGAAACACGGCUGUCUCUUAUAC